AUUGAACGCUGGCGGCAUGCCUUACACAUGCAAGUCGAACGGUAAAGUGGGGCAACCUGGCGACGAGUGCCGCACGGGUGAGUAAUGCAUCGGAAAGUGCCCAGUAGAGGGGGAGACACCGGCGAAAGCCGGACUCAUAUCUCACACGACCUACGGGUGAAACAGGGGGACCGUAAGGCCUCGCGCUCUAGGAGCCGCAGAUGUCGGGUUAGAUGGUUGGUGGGGUAAAAGCCUGCCAAGCCGACGAUCUGUAACUGGUCUGAGAGGACGACCAGCCACACUGGGACUGAGACACGGCCCAGACUCCUACGGUAGGCAGCAGUGGGGAAUUUUGGACAAUGGGGGAAACCCUGAUCCAGCCAUGCCGCGUGCGGGAAGAAGGCCUUCGGGUUGUAAACCGCUUUUGUCAGGGAGGAAACGCUCUGGGCUAAUACCCCGGGGUAAUGACGGUACCUGAAGAAUAAGCACCGGCUAACUACGUGCCAGCCGCCGCGGUAACAC
rnacentral:rRNA from 1 species